UCAGACGAUGCGUCAUGCAUAUCAAUAAGCGGAGGAAAAGAAACUAACAAGGAUUCCCCUAGUAACGGCGAGUGAAGCGGGAAGAGCUCAAAUUUGAAAUCUUAAAGGGUUUCCCUUUACGAAUUGUAGUUUAAAGAAGUGUUUUCUGUUGAGGUUUUGGUAAAAGUUCUUUGGAAUAGGACAUCAUAGAGGGUGAGAAUCCCGUAUUUGACCUUUACUUUCAACUUUGUGAUACACUUUCAAAGAGUCGGAUUGUUUGGGAAUGCAGUCCAAAAUGGGUGGUAAAUUUCAUCUAAAGCUAAAUAUUGGCGAGAGACCGAUAGCGAACAAGUACCGUGAGGGAAAGAUGAGAAGAACUUUGAAAAGAGAGUUAAACAGUACGUGAAAUUGUCAAAAGGGAAGCGUUUGACACCAGUGUUGUUUUUCUGAAAAUCAAUUAAAGAACUGUUUAUGCUAAGCUGUUUAGACUUUAUCAGCUAUCUGUUUAGUUUUGAGCUUUUCUUUAAUGCACUUUUCAGUUAACAAGUCAACAUCAAUUUCUUUUGCUGUAAAAAAGCUUGAGGAAGGUGGCUUGAGAUUCGUCUUAAGUGUUUAUAGCCUCUUGCCUAUGCAGUCGGAGAGAUUGAGGUCUGCAGCGUAGAUCCUUCGGGGCUAAAUGCAUUUGUGCUAAGUUAUAGCAUUUUAUAGACAACUUGUUGACUAUGAUUUGUCUUGUAGCUUACUCGCUUAUGUUAUUUUACCUACGCUUAGGAUGUUGACACACGCGCGUGCUCG
rnacentral:rRNA from 1 species